rnacentral:rRNA from 1 species
GAUGUGCCCAGAUGGGAUUAGCUAGUAGGUGGGGUAAUGGCUCACCUAGGCGACGAUCCCUAGCUGGUCUGAGAGGAUGACCAGCCACACUGGAACUGAGACACGGUCCAGACUCCUACGGGAGGCAGCAGUGGGGAAUAUUGCACAAUGGGCGCAAGCCUGAUGCAGCCWUGCCGCGUGUAUGAAGAAGGCCUUCGGGUUGUAAAGUACUUUCAGCGAGGAGGAAGGCGUUGUGGUUAAUAACCUCGGCGAUUGACGUUACUCGCAGAAGAAGCA